UACGUAGGGGGCAAGCGUUGUCCGGAAUCAUUGGGCGUAAAGCGCGUGUAGGCGGCUUGGUAAGUCUGCUCUGAAAGCCCGGGGCUCAACCCCGGGAGGCGGGUGGAUACUGCUGAGCUCGAGUCCGGAAGAGGCGAGUGGAAUUCCUGGUGUAGCGGUGAAAUGCGUAGAGAUCGGGGGGAACACCCGUGGCGAAGGCGGCCAGCUGGGCCGGUCCUGACGCUGAGGCGCGAAGGCGUGGGGAGCGAACGGG
rnacentral:rRNA from 1 species